CCUACGGGGGACAGCAGUCGAGAAUCAUUCACAAUGGGGGAAACCCUGAUGGUGCGACGCCGCGUGGGGGAAUGAAGGUCUUCGGAUUGUAAACCCCUGUCAUGUGGGAGCAAAUUAAAAAGAUAGUACCACAAGAGGAAGAGACGGCUAACUCUGUGCCAGCAGCCGCGGUAAUACAGAGGUCUCAAGCGUUGUUCGGAAUCACUGGGCGUAAAGCGUGCGUAGGCUGUUUCGUAAGUCGUGUGUGAAAGGCGCGGGCUCAACCCGCGGACGGCACAUGAUACUGCGAGACUAGAGUAGUGGAGGGGGAACCGGAAUUCUCGGUGUAGCAGUGAAAUGCGUAGAUAUCGAGAGGAACACUCGUGGCGAAGGCGGGUUCCUGGACAUUAACUGACGCUGAGGCACGAAGGCCAGGGGAGCGAAAGGGAUUAGAUACCCCUGUAGUC
rnacentral:rRNA from 1 species